CCCUUAGAUGUUCGGGGCCGCACGCGCGCUACACCGAAGGAAUCAGCACGUCUUUCUCCUUGUCCGAAAGGACUGGGUAACCCGCUGAACCUCCUUCGUGCUAGGGAUUGGGGCUUGUAAUUCUUCCCCAUGAACGAGGAAUUCCCAGUAAGCGCGAGUCAUAAGCUCGCGUUGAUUACGUCCCUGCCCUUUGUACACACCGCCCGUCGCUACUACCGAUUGGAUGGUUUAGUGAGAUCCUCGGAUUGGUCCCGGCGCGGCCUCUGGUCGUGCCGGAGUGCCGAAAAGAAUGUCGAACUUGAUCAUCUAGAGGAAGUAAAAGUCGUAACA
rnacentral:rRNA from 1 species